rnacentral:rRNA from 1 species
GGGUUGUGAGGUUAAGCGACUAAGCGUACACGGUGGAUGCCCUGGCAGUCAGAGGCGAUGAAGGGCGUGCUAAUCUGCGAUAAGCGCCGGUAAGGUGAUAUGAACCGUUAUAACCGGCGAUACCCGAAUGGGGAAACCCAGUGUGAUUCGUCACACUAUCAUUAACUGAAUCCAUAGGUUAAUGAGGCGAACCGGGGGAACUGAAACAUCUAAGUACCCCGAGGAAAAGAAAUCAACCGAGAUUCCCCCAGUAGCGGCGAGCGAACGGGGAGGAGCCCAGAGCCUGAAUCAGCAUGUGUGUUAGUGGAAGCGUCUGGAAAGGCGCGCGAUACAGGGUGACAGCCCCGUACACAAAAGCGCAUGUGCUGUGAGCUCGAUGAGUAGGGCGGGACACGUGAUAUCCUGUCUGAAUAUGGGGGGACCAUCCUCCAAGGCUAAAUACUCCUGACUGACCGAUAGUGAACCAGUACCGUGAGGGAAAGGCGAAAAGAACCCCGGCGAGGGGAGUGAAAAAGAACCUGAAACCGUGUACGUACAAGCAGUGGGAGCCCCACCACUAAGCCAGUGGUGAACUCCACAUACGCAUCCUUUGCUGAGGAUACGGUUAACGGAGCGAAAGCGACGUUCAACCUCAAAAGAAGCAGAGGGGGCUUAGUGGUGGGGUGACUGCGUACCUUUUGUAUAAUGGGUCAGCGACUUAUAUUCUGUAGCAAGGUUAACCGUAUAGGGGAGCCGCAGGGAAACCGAGUCUUAACCGGGCGUUAAGUUGCAGGGUAUAGACCCGAAACCCGGUGAUCUAGCCAUGGGCAGGUUGAAGGUUGGGUAACACUAACUGGAGGACCGAACCGACUAAUGUUGAAAAAUUAGCGGAUGACCUGUGGCUGGGGGUGAAAGGCCAAUCAAACCGGGAGAUAGCUGGUUCUCCCCGAAAGCUAUUUAGGUAGCGCCUCGUGAAUUCAUCUCCGGGGGUAGAGCACUGUUUCGGCUAGGGGGCCAUCCCGGCUUACCAACCCGAUGCAAACUGCGAAUACCGGAGAAUGUUAUCACGGGAGACACACGGCGGGUGCUAACGUCCGUCGUGAAGAGGGAAACAACCCAGACCGCCAGCUAAGGUCCCAAAGUCAUGGUUAAGUGGGAAACGAUGUGGGAAGGCCCAGACAGCCAGGAUGUUGGCUUAGAAGCAGCCAUCAUUUAAAGAAAGCGUAAUAGCUCACUGGUCGAGUCGGCCUGCGCGGAAGAUGUAACGGGGCUAAACCAUGCACCGAAGCUGCGGCAGCGAACGUAUCACUUAAAGCGAUUCAGCGGGUUACGAUUGACGGAGCGAAGCGACGUCAAAGCGUAUACAAAGUCGAGUCGGUUUAAGGAUACGUUCGUUGGGUAGGGGAGCGUUCUGUAAGCCUGUGAAGGUGUGUCGUGAGGCAUGCUGGAGGUAUCAGAAGUGCGAAUGCUGACAUAAGUAACGAUAAAGCGGGUGAAAAGCCCGCUCGCCGGAAGACCAAGGGUUCCUGUCCAACGUUAAUCGGGGCAGGGUGAGUCGACCCCUAAGGCGAGGCCGAAAGGCGUAGUCGAUGGGAAACGGGUUAAUAUUCCCGUACUUGGUGUUACUGCGAAGGGGGGACGGAGAAGGCUAUGUUGGCCGGGCGACGGUUGUCCCGGUUUAAGCGUGUAGGUGUGUGUUCCAGGUAAAUCCGGUUCACUUUAACACUGAGGCGUGACGACGAGGCACUACGGUGCUGAAGCAACAAAUGCCCUGCUUCCAGGAAAAGCCUCUAAGCAUCAGGUAACAUCAAAUCGUACCCCAAACCGACACAGGUGGUCAGGUAGAGAAUACCAAGGCGCUUGAGAGAACUCGGGUGAAGGAACUAGGCAAAAUGGUGCCGUAACUUCGGGAGAAGGCACGCUGACACGUAGGUGAAGUGAUUUACUCACGGAGCUGAAGUCAGUCGAAGAUACCAGCUGGCUGCAACUGUUUAUUAAAAACACAGCACUGUGCAAACACGAAAGUGGACGUAUACGGUGUGACGCCUGCCCGGUGCCGGAAGGUUAAUUGAUGGGGUCAGCGCAAGCGAAGCUCCUGAUCGAAGCCCCGGUAAACGGCGGCCGUAACUAUAACGGUCCUAAGGUAGCGAAAUUCCUUGUCGGGUAAGUUCCGACCUGCACGAAUGGCGUAAUGAUGGCCAGGCUGUCUCCACCCGAGACUCAGUGAAAUUGAACUCGCUGUGAAGAUGCAGUGUACCCGCGGCAAGACGGAAAGACCCCGUGAACCUUUACUAUAGCUUGACACUGAACAUUGAGCCUUGAUGUGUAGGAUAGGUGGGAGGCUUUGAAGUGUGGACGCCAGUCUGCAUGGAGCCGACCUUGAAAUACCACCCUUUAAUGUUUGAUGUUCUAACGUGGACCCGUUACCCGGGUUGCGGACAGUGUCUGGUGGGUAGUUUGACUGGGGCGGUCUCCUCCUAAAGAGUAACGGAGGAGCACAAAGGUUGGCUAAUCCUGGUCGGACAUCAGGAGGUUAGUGCAAUGGCAUAAGCCAGCUUGACUGCGAGCGUGACGGCGCGAGCAGGUGCGAAAGCAGGUCAUAGUGAUCCGGUGGUUCUGAAUGGAAGGGCCAUCGCUCAACGGAUAAAAGGUACUCCGGGGAUAACAGGCUGAUACCGCCCAAGAGUUCAUAUCGACGGCGGUGUUUGGCACCUCGAUGUCGGCUCAUCACAUCCUGGGGCUGAAGUAGGUCCCAAGGGUAUGGCUGUUCGCCAUUUAAAGUGGUACGCGAGCUGGGUUUAGAACGUCGUGAGACAGUUCGGUCCCUAUCUGCCGUGGGCGCUGGAGAACUGAGGGGGGCUGCUCCUAGUACGAGAGGACCGGAGUGGACGCAUCACUGGUGUUCGGGUUGUCAUGCCAAUGGCACUGCCCGGUAGCUAAAUGCGGAAGAGAUAAGUGCUGAAAGCAUCUAAGCACGAAACUUGCCCCGAGAUGAGUUCUCCCUGAGACUUUAAGUCUCCUGAAGGAACGUUGAAGACGACGACGUUGAUAGGCCGGGUGUGUAAGCGCAGCGAUGCGUUGAGCUAACCGGUACUAAUGAACCGUGAGGCUUAACCUUACAACGCCGAAG